CAGCAGCCACGGUAAUACGUAGGGGGCGAGCGUUGUCCGGAAUUAUUGGGCGUAAAGCGCGCGCAGGCGGUCCUUUAAGUCUGAUGUGAAAGCCCACGGCUCAACCGUGGAGGGUCAUUGGAAACUGGGGGACUUGAGUGCAGGAGAGGAGAGCGGAAUUCCACGUGUAGCGGUGAAAUGCGUAGAGAUGUGGAGGAACACCAGUGGCGAAGGCGGCUCUCUGGCCUGUAACUGACGCUGAGGCGCGAAAGCGUGGGGAGCAAACAGGAUUAGAUACCCUGGUAGUCCACGCCGUAAACGAUGAGUGCUAAGUGUUAGAGGGGUCACACCCUUUAGUGCUGCAGCUAACGCGAUAAGCACUCCGCCUGGGGAGUACGGCCGCAAGGCUGAAACUUAAAGGAAUUGGCGGG
rnacentral:rRNA from 1 species